GGCAGGAAGCAGCAACCACACCAGCUGGAGAUGGCACUGGGACGUCUCCUGCAGGGUGCCGUCCACGGCCGCCCCCAGAUUCCUGUCUGAUCCCCCACUGCGAAGGCGGUGUCCUUUCUCCUCUUUGCUCCCAGCAGGAAGAACACAAGGUUUGUGUCUGCUGUGGUCCUUGGAAGGUGACUGAUUCACUGUGUUCCUACCCACAGAGGGUCUGCUGCUUAGCUCUCGUCCCUGGGAUCGAUAUCACCUCCUCUAGCAAGUCCUGCAGGAAUUUCUCAUUCUCUCUUCUCUGUGAGUCCGUCACCUCUUUCUCCACGAUCCUGUACUUACAGCACUUUGUGUCCUUAAUUUGCUGUUUUCCUUCUCCUGUCUCUACUUCCACCCGUGCAUCUUUAAGACGCAGUGACACGAACUUUUCCUGAAAAUAACUUGAGUCAAUUUCAGUGAAGCAAAUGAUGAUGUAAUACAGUGAAGGGUGUGCCAAGUAAUCCCAGUGGGUGGUUUCAUGUACAUUUAAAAGAGAAUACAGGAUGAGUUUGUUUAUUCAAUUCAC
rnacentral:lncRNA from 1 species